GGGAGUUUUGUCUCCUAUUUUCAUCUUAAAGAUGGCCAAAGUUGUUUGGUUUAGCAUUUCAAAAGCAAAAUAAAUAAUGCAUUUGCUUCAGUGGAAAAAAACCCAGGCAAAUUUUCCAAACGCUUAUCUAUUCUCUAGAUGUUUAUGGACAUAUUACUCCAGUUUUUAAUGCCACAUACUCAAACUAGCAAUACUCAAACUAGGAAGGCCAAGUUCUGCCCACAGGGUAGCUGAAGUGCACAUUUCAACUCAGAGUUCAUUUGCCACCAGAUCCUGAUAGCCAUCGUGAUACUUUCAAGUGCCCAGGAUUUUCUGUUUUUUCACUUAGAAACGUGAUUACUUGACCGGGGCAGGUAUAUUGUAGGUAACUGGGGUAGGGUGGGCACACGAACCAGUGGACAGGAAGCAGGACACAGAGAAGACGCUUCCUGCCCUGGUCUGGAACUCCUCAACUGCCAAUCUUUGCUGAGGAUCAAGACACAUUUGUUUCUGGAAGGUGCUGGGGGAUUAGAAGGGGCCAUUUCAAUUUAAGAAAACAAAAGAUGAUCCUGUGAACACUGUAUCAGGCAUCAUUACUGGACUGAAAAAAGGAUCACUUGAUGGACAUGCCUGGCGUUUUGUUUAGAAGUAUUUCUUCUCUGGCCUUAGAAGAUUAGUUUUCAAAGCGAUGGUAAAAUCAUUGAUGUAUGUCUUUUCAAGAAAAAGAAAAAAAAAAGACUCCUAAAUGCCAAACAUUUGCUCUUUGGAGCAUAGCAAGAAGAAAGGGAGAGGACCAGACGGCCACAUCCUAAGAACAGAGUAUUGUCCAGGUAGCUGUCGCCCCAAAUGGGAUCUCUUUCCAGGUCUUUUUGUUAAAGCUUUUCUUUCCUAAAUAAAACUUAAUUUUCUCUCGCUAAUCUUUCCAGUGGGUGUCUGCCGCUUCCUCAUGCCUUGCUAUAAGAAAGCUCGUAAAAAGGAAGAAAUCUAAAACUAGAACAAUUCUAUAUUCACAGUUUCUCUGACAUUAAAAAGUACUCAAGAGAAGAGUUUUUUUUUUAAUUUAAAGAAACAUCUGUCCAACAUGGAUGAUUUUGAAGAAGAGCACUCCCCUUUGUCCAGAGCCAUAGAAAGAUAAUUUAAUUACACUUAUCAUUACACCCUCCCCAAAUUAGACUACAAAUGGAUCUUGAUUUCUCAUGAUUUUUUCACUUUACAAAAUAAUCUUAAAGUUUAGGAGGAAGAAAAGAUGCUUAAGAAUAAUCAAGAAUGCUUGGAAAAGAGGAAGAAAAAGGGAAAUUUCUCCUACUGAACCGGUAGUGCUGGGAAGGGAAGAGCGUGGUCCCUUUAAAUGACAGGGAAGUGGGGCAGGGAAGUGCUGGGUAGAGAAAGGCGAGGUCUCUGUCUAGGGCUCCACCCCCAGGGACCUAGGUGAGGACAGGCACUUCUGCCUUCAAGCCCAAAUGUUGCAUUUUCCAAGACCACCCUGGCCUGCCACACCCCCAUUCUGGGCCUAUAAAAACCCAAGACCCUAGCAGGCAGACACAAAAGCGGCUGGACGUCAUGAAGAACACAUGGACAGAAGACACAAGCAGCUGGUAGUGGAGAGCACACGGCGGAAUGACGCAGAGUUUUACUGGAGCAGGCCGCCAAAGGACCCGACUCCAGGGGAAAACCAUCUCCCUUCUUGCUCCCCCGUCUGCUGAGAGCUACUUCUGCUCAAUAAAACCUUGCACUCAUUCUCCAAGCCCAUGUGUGAUCCAUUCCCGGGAUACAGAAAGCCCUCUGUCCUUGUGAUAAAGAAGGGGGUCUAAUUGAACUGGUUAACACAAGCUGCCUAUAGACAGCAAACCAAAAGAGCACCCUGUAACACACGCCCACUUGGGUUUCGGCUGUAAACAUUCAUCCCUAGGCACUGCCAUUGGAUCGGAGGCCCACAGUCUGCCCAUGUCUACGUUCCCCUAGGAGGUUUGAGGAGCGGGUGGCUGAAAAAGCUAGCCACACCCCCAGCGCAUGCCCUGCAGGGGGGACAAAGGAAACUUUCCAGUUUCACUACCACCAUUAGAAUAUCUUACAAAGUCGGCUAGGCGUGGUGGCUCACGCCUGUAAUCCCAGCACUUCUGGAGGCUGAGGCCGGCGGAUCGCCUGAGGCCAGGAGUUCAAGGUCAGCCUGCUCAACAUGGCGAAAACCCAUCUCUACUAAAAAUAUAAAAAUGAGCUAGACAUGGUGGUGCAUGCCUGCAAUCCCAGCUACUCUGGAGGCUGAGGCAGGAGAAUUGUUUGAACCUAGGAGGCAGAGGCUGGACUAAUAAUCAUGCCCGUAUCUAAGCUAUUAUCUGUAAAAAGUUGUACCUAUUUGCAUUGCACUCUAGCCUGGGCGACAGAGCAAGACUAUCUUAUGGUAAUGGUGGCAUAGGAUUAAUGAAACGGAAUAGAAGUCCUAGAAAUAUUCCCAAGUAAAUAUAAGAAGUUUGUGUAUGAUAAAAGUGGCAUUUAAAAAUAAAAGGAAGAUGUAGUAUAUUAUUCAAUAUUUUGGUAUUGUGGCAACUGCCUAUUCGUUUAGGGGAGGAGACAAAAGGUAGUCUCUGAGUCAUACAAGUGAAAGUAUAAAUUUGAGGUUUAAUAAUAAGUAUUAAAAGGAAACAAUUAUAUAGAUGUAAUAUAUUUAUAAGUAUGAAAAACCAAGAAUAAAUUUUAGAUGUAAUAUAUUUAUACAUAUAAAAAACGAAAUGAUUAUUUUCUAAGAAUAUGCUGGUGGAUAUUUAUACAAUAUUGAAUUGGGAAAGCAUCAGUCCUGAGGCAAUAAUCAUAAAAUAAAUGAAUUAAGUUUACUACGGAAAUACUAAAAUUGUCUGCCCAUCAAAACAUACCAAAAAUUAUGACUAAGAAGAAAGGACAAAUUGGGUAACAUAUUUAAAUAUACAUAUACAUACAUAUAUAUACACACACACACACACAUAUAUAUAUACACACAUACAUACAAUAUGCUCAACAUAUAAAAAGUUUUAACAACUUUGUAAGAAAAAGAUUAACACGGAUAAUUUACAAAAGAAAAAUAAUGCAAUGAAAAAUAAUUUACCUACCUGCAUUAGGGUUCUCUUCGAGGGAAAAAAUAGGAGAUAUAUAUGUAAAGGGGAGCUUAUUAAGUAUUAACUUACGUGAUUACAAGGUCCCAAAAUAGGCUGUCUGCAAGCUGAGGAGCAAGGAGAGGCAAUCCAAGUUACAAAACUAAAGAACUUGGAGUCCGAUGUUUGAGGGCAGGAAGCACCCAGCAUGGGAGAAAAAUGUAGGCUGGGAAGCUAGGCCUGUCUCUCCUUUUCUGCCUGCUUUAUAUUCGCUGGCAGCUGAUUAAAUUGUGCCCACCAGAUUAAGGGUGGAUCUGCCUUCCCUGGCCCACUGGCUCAAAUGUUAAUCUCUUUUGCAACACCCUCACAGACACACCCAAGAUCAAUACUUUGUAUCCUUCAAUCCAAUCAAGUUGACAUUCAGUAUUAACCAUCAUACUAACCAAACAGCAUUUAAAAAUGUUUAAUACUCAGUAAUAGUUAGGAUGUGGAAGAAUGGGAAUUCUCACACACUGCUGAUUACAAUGCAAAUAGGUACAACUUUUUACAGAUAAUAGCUUAGAUACGGGCAUGAUUAUUAGUCCAGCAAUGCCACUUCUAGAAGUUUUUGCUAAGGAAAUAACCCUGGAUAUAAAUAAGAUUUAGCUAUAAAGAUGUCUGCAAACUGUUGUUUGCAAUAUUCAAAACAUUAAAAAAUAAUCCUGUAUGUAUACAAGAAGAUUAAGCAAUUAUUUAAAAUGUUUCUGUAGUAAAUAAUAUUUAAUAAGUAUUGUCAUAAUAUUUUGCCAAAUGAAAAAAAA
rnacentral:lncRNA from 1 species